GUGUGAAGAAGGCCUUAUGGUUGUAAAGCACUUUAAGCGAGGAGGAGGCUACUUUAGAUAAUACCUAGAGAUAGUGGACGUUACUCGCAGAAUAAGCACCGGCUAACUCUGUGCCAGCAGCCGCGGUAAUACAGAGGGUGCAAGCGUUAAUCGGAUUUACUGGGCGUAAAGCGCGCGUAGGCGGCUAAUUAAGUCAAAUGUGAAAUCCCCGAGCUUAACUUGGGAAUUGCAUUCGAUACUGGUUAGCUAGAGUGUGGGAGAGGAUGGUAGAAUUCCAGGUGUAGCGGUGAAAUGCGUAGAGAUCUGGAGGAAUACCGAUGGCGAAGGCAGCCAUCUGGCCUAACACUGACGCUGAGGUGCGAAAGCAUGGGGAGCAAACAGGAUUAGAUACCCUGGUAGUCCAUGCCGUAAACGAUGUCUACUAGCCGUUGGGGCCUUUGAGGCUUUAGUGGCGCAGCUAACGCGAUAAGUAGACCGCCUGGGGAGUACGGUCGCAAGACUAAAACUCAAAUGAAUUGACGGGGGCCCGCACAAGCGGUGGAGCAUGUGGUUUAAUUCGAUGCAACGCGAAGAACCUUACCUGGCCUUGACAUAGUAAGAACUUUCCAGAGAUGGAUUGGUGCCUUCGGGAACUUACAUACAGGUGCUGCAUGGCUGUCGUCAGCUCGUGUCGUGAGAUGUUGGGUUAAGUCCCGCAACGAGCGCAACCCUUUUCCUUAUUUGCCAGCGAGUAAUGUCGGGAACUUUAAGGAUACUGCCAGUGACAAACUGGAGGAAGGCGGGGACGACGUCAAGUCAUCAUGGCCCUUACGGCCAGGGCUACACACGUGCUACAAUGGUCGGUACAAAGGGUUGCUACACAGCGAUGUGAUGCUAAUCUCAAAAAGCCGAUCGUAGUCCGGAUUGGAGUCUGCAAC
rnacentral:rRNA from 1 species